rnacentral:rRNA from 1 species
AGAGUUUGAUCAUGGCUCAGAUUGAACGCUGGCGGCAUGCCUUACACAUGCAAGUCGAACGCGAAAGGGGGCAACCCCGAGUAGAGUGGCGAACGGGUGAGCAAUACAUCGGAACAUUUCCUGUAGCGGGGGACAACCUCGAGAAAUCGAGGCUAAUACCGCAUACGAUCUACGGAUGAAAGUGGGGGACCGCAAGCCCCACACUAUAGGAGUGGCCGAUGCCGGAUUAGCUAGUUGGUGGGGUAACGGCCUACCAAGGCGACGAUCCGUAGCUGGUUUGAGAGAACGACCAGCCACACUGGGACUGAGACACGGCCCAGACUCCUACGGGAGGCAGCAGUGGGGAAUUUUGGACAAUGGGCGAAAGCCUGAUCCAGCCAUGCCGCGUGAGUGAAGAAGGCCUUCGGGUUGUAAAGCUCUUUCGGCCGGGACGAAAUGGCGCGGGGUAACAUCCCGCGUCGAUGACGGUACCGGAAGAAGAAGGACCGGCUAACUACGUGCCAGCAGCCGCGGUAAUACGUAGGGUCCAAGCGUUAAUCGGAAUUACUGGGCGUAAAGCGUGAGUAGGCGGUUUCGCAAGUCCGAUGUGAAAUCCCCGGGCUUAACCUGGGAACUGCGUUGGAAACUACGAAGCUAGAGUGCGGCAGAGGGGGGUGGAAUUCCAGGUGUAGCAGUGAAAUGCGUAGAGAUCUGGAGGAACACCGAUGGCGAAGGCAGCCCCCUGGGUUAGCACUGACGCUCAUACACGAAAGCGUGGGGAGCAAACAGGAUUAGAUACCCUAGUAGUCC